GGAGAGGGUAAGGGACGGCAGGCUGAGGAGGGGUGUGGCAUAGCUUAGGGAUUUAGAAGUCCAGCAGGUGAGCAGGAUGAAGCAGGCGGGUUGGGCUGGAAACUUUAAUAAUUAAAAAAGAAAAAAAUCCAAUCAAAAUCAGUUCACUAACCGUGUUUUUACAACGGUCCGGAUCUGAGUUGUGGCUGCGGUCUGGUUUUUUGGCAGAAGCUGGCGCAUCUGGUGAUUACCAACUGCCUUCACCUGUCUGUGUUGCACACACCUCACUCACAUCCACCUGGGGAAAAGGAAAGGAGAGAAGGGAGAGGCUGCUGCCAGCUAAAGGGCAUGACAAUAUCAGGGAAUGUAAAUUAACUUUACUGGGAUGAAAUCUUAACAGGAACGUCAACCAACAUUAUCCCAGCACAUGGACCAGCAACUCCACUGGAGGAGGUCAAUGAGGAAUCCGUAUGACAUUAAUAUGCUCAAAGCAAAAGGCCUGGUCACAUGAGAGAGAAGGAUGGGUUUCAGGCCUGUAGCUGGGUCAAGCAUCAUGGGUUCAUAAUUCCCAUUUCAUGAUUAUUAGUUUCUCAUGCCAUCUGCUAACUGAAGAGGGGUCUCCCUGUGUAACACCAUGUCCUCUUGAUACACAGCUUAAUGUCUCCUUGUUUUAGUCCUAACCACCAUUUAGUGUCACCAUGGACAUUAUACAGGGUAAACAUUUGUUAGCAG